GCUCCCCGAUACCCUGACUCAUGGAGUGUGAACAGCCCUUGGUCCCAGGGGCUUUUGGGGGUCUUCCUUCCCCCCAAACCCUCGCUUCUCACUGAGCCUCCGCACAUCUCCACUUUCCUGUCUCUCUGACUCUCUCAUCAUCACAGACCUCCGUCCACCACUUUUCAGGGUCAUGCUGCUUCAGGCUUGAGUACCAGCCUGAACAAAAGUCACCCAAGAGAUAGUCAUCCUUCCACUUUCUUGCUCUGUGAUUUUCACCGAGCCGUAAAAGAGGCUGCCUGGAUCUAAGAAGCAGAGACCCCUUCUGCAGGGUGACCCGGUUAUGCCCGUUGGCCUCCGGAACGGGAGCUCAUCUCUGAUCUCUUUUCUGAUCUCGCCGAGGCCAGGAGUCUGACCUCAUCAGAAGCAUCGUAAACUUCCUCCCGGGAGCUGAGGUGGAGCUCUGCUCCGGCAUGGGGAGCUGAACAAAGUCUACAGGAAAAGCCCACGAGUCCCCUCCGAGGGACCCGGCCGAGAGAGCUGCAGUUACCAUUACCCCUCCGAGAGCGGGAAAACAGCUGGAUCCGCGAUGGGUUUCUGGGGAGUUUUGGAGACGGGAGGAUGCGCUGUCCUUACCGGCAGGAGUCACUGAACCUCUAAUGGGUGUGUGGGGAGGGUUGGGGGGUGGGGGACCCGGGACGGGAAGGAGAAUUCAAGAGGAUGCUGGAAAGGAAAAUCUCUGCUGCUAACCACAAGGGCUAAAAAAAGAAAUUGGGAUCGGCCCGGAGCAUAUUUGGAAAACAGAGUAGUGGAAUGAAAUCAGUGGGUGUCUUGUCAGCCUCAAGCAGCCCUUACGGGUGCCAAAAGAACAGAAAUAAUUGUAUGCUUAAAGAGAAAAUAAAACACACACACUCUAAAACAGAAAA